rnacentral:lncRNA from 1 species
ACUUGAUUUCAUUUCUCGCAUAUGAUUUCUGAUUCGAUGGAAAAUGGCGUAAUUGAAUUUCUAAGAACCGGGACGAUCAUGUCCGUUGAAGGCCCUCAUCGGAUACAGACUACGUCAACGUAACGGGAGGGGAUAUCCAUUUAAAGUACACUUUCCUGGUGUACGUUGGAAGCAGUGGCGAGACGUGAAUAAUCGAUUAUAGAUAUUUUCCCAUUUGAAGCUGUGGUAAUGAAUCGAUUGUUGAAGUGUUUGUUUUAAACACCACGUUUAUCGAUACUUUUUCGUAGGCUCAAACGGCAGAUCAAUCGAUAAAUCGCAAAGCAUACCACACCGCUGGAAAUGUGCGCAUUCUGGUGAAGCGCGCAUCCUCGUCGGUUAGUGAGGGUGAAUACCAUUUAACUUGUUAGUGUCAAUACGGUGACAUACAGUUGAUUGCUUGAUUUCACGUUGAUGAAAUGAGUGAACAUUUUUACGCGACCAGGAUGGGAAAGCAUCUUUCUCAAAUGAGCUGUCAAGCAAGAAAAUGCUUAAAAAAUGCUUACGCAUGAAAUUCAUGCGCAAUGCAAAUGAAAAAUUGAGAGGGUGCCCCAGUCUGUCACUGUUAGUCAUACUUUCAACAUGCUGCAUCAAUUUAGGCCUGGACUUCAUUUGAUUCUUUGGAUCAUAUUUCUGGCAAUCCCUUCUGUAAUCGAACCAGUCGCAAAAUGGGUCGACAAGUCAACCCCACACGGUGCCGAGUCAGGAGCGGUCAAAGUCGAUCUUGACUCUGUGAAGGCGGCCGCUGGACAUCAGAUAGAAGCUCCGUCUGGAAUCCUUCAAACAAGAGGCCACGACAUGGCCACGGACUUGGACGAUGGAAUCACCCUUCCCGGACCCUACAGCUCCGCCGAAUUACAGGGCCCUGGCAACGAGGAGUUCACCCGGUACCGGGGCGUUUUCAUAGCUGGGAGGUUCAGGAAAGUCCGGGUCCUGAUGAUGAGUCCAAGCGGUUGCCCUCAGACAAUCGUCUUCAUGAAAAAGUCCUUUGGAGUGAUCGUAAACGAUAUCCCCGUCCUCGGGAAUUGCGACGAUGUGGGGAAGAUGAGGUUUCAGAAGACCCCGAUGGCGAUGUGGCACACGAACCUGCCGCUGGAGGAGCUCGGGGGCGAGGCGAUGACGGAGCGGGAGAUCGUGGAGUUCAAGAAGGUGCUAGUGAAGAGCAGGGAGAUUAUCAGGAAGGCCUUCGACCGAUCGAGGAAGGUGAUCGAGGAGGCUGAGGAUAUGCUAAGGGAGCUUUCGGAGGAUCCGCCAUCUGGGACGAUGGCGAAGCGACGAUCUGCGGCAACGGGUCAAGGAGGCGAUGUUUUAAGAGAUCGUUCGUGGAAGCCGGCAUUUGCACGGACGAUAGCGAAGCAACGAUCUACGGCAACGGGUCAAGCGGGCGAUGUUUUAAGAAAGCGUUUGUGGAAGCCGGGUCCUGCACGGGUGAUGACGAAGCGACGAAGAGGGAGGGUUGUGCGUCGCCGUACCAGAUCUAGAAGUCGGAGUUUUAUAAAACCUGCCGUCAGGUUUGUUAAAUAGUUCUUGGUAAAAAAUUGUUGUUCAGAAAUUUGUGUUCAAAAAUAGUUCAUUUAUUGCUUUGUUUUGAGCCUGUGUCACCUUUCAUAUGAAAUCGGUGAGUGACACACUCGCUAAUACACCGUGCUUUCUUGUGAAACAAGUUUACUUCUUAUUACAUUGAUUUUAAAAUAUUAUCUGGACAGCGUCAAGCAGAAAGGAACCAUGCCACAUUAGCUAUUGCCAAAUUUAAUUGGGCAAUUUGAUUUCUUACAUGAAAACGGUUGUACGCAUUUUUGUACAAAUUUCAGUGAAUUUUCUGCAAAAUCUUGAACUUUUCAAAGGAAUCCGCACACUUGUUCUCCUGUAAAAAAUUAAAGUGCCCAGUCAAAUUUGGUAAUAGUCGACGUGGCUUGGACCCUCUCUGUUAAACGCGGUCCAUCUGACAUCUCGUAGAAGAUAUUGGACUCGAUGCUCGACUUCCGCACUUGGGCAGAACUUGGACAUUUCCAAUUAAUUUGUGGCAGUACUCCAAUAAAUCAGGCUACUAACCCAAUUGUGUCGGUGCUACUACAACUUGAGUUGCAGUCCUACCACAAGUCUUUGGAAAUGUUCAUAUCACCCGACAAAAUUGGGGUAGUAACGCAAUCUACCGGGAUAACCCUCAACACUUUUUUUCUCCAAAGCGAAGUCAUGAGAAACAUGUAUACCUCGUAAAAUACGUAUUUUGACCCAAAGACUCGAGCCAAGAAUCAAUGCCCGCGAACCGUGAAGCACUCUGUAUUUCCACUUUAGCCGAGUGAAGACUUAAAAAGUGCUUAAAUUAGUUCCCCUCAGCAUUGGAGAAACAUGUUGGCAAGUCGAGGGUUUGUAUUUUCUAGAAAAAAAAAGUCAGAUAAAGAGGUAAUCCCCGUCAAGAGCAAGAAAUGUAUAACCUGGACGGCCCCUUAAACUGCGUACUUCUCGGACACCUACUACAAUUGCCACGUAAGGAUAUCAUAACGACCAAUGCCCUGUCGGAAUCGUGUGAAAUGUAGCGUUUUUCGCGCAAUUAUGCAAUCGUACCACCCAGAGCCCUGCCUUUGGCGGGUAGUAUUAUGCAAGGAGUGCCAAAUUGUGCAGAUUUUUUUCUUUCUCAAACGAUGUUUCUAUUGGUUUCAUACGCAAGGAGUAGAAACACAUUUGACG